ensembl:misc_RNA
CUGGCCUGGCCGGGAGGUGGCCUGGGAAGGGACCUGUGUUCCUCCAGCCUGCGCCCCGGGGGCCUGGGGGUGGGGCCCCAGCAGAUGUCUGGUUUGGUAGCCAGGGCCUGGAGCCGGAUGCUGAGAACGAGGCCUGCAGCUCAUUUCCCCAUUAAACAUUCUGAGAACAUCUGCACCAGUUUCCCUCGCUAAUUGCUUUGAUUAUUGUGUGAAGUUAAGAACUGGCACACAUCCUCGAUGUUGCGAUGAAGGUGAAAAGAUCACUCUUAAUUAGAUUAAAAACAUUUUUUUCUCCCUCUGUAAUUUCGCCUUGAAAAUCAAGGCCAUUUUUUUUUGUUUGCUUCAUCCAAAGACCUCCAAAAACUUUCCUCUCCACCUCUCCAGAGGUUUCUUGGGAAUGUCCUGUGAGCUCAGCUCUUGGAGAAGAUAGUGCUUACCCCAGAUUCCAGCGGCC